rnacentral:rRNA from 1 species
GAUGAACGCUGGCGGCGUGCCUAAUACAUGCAAGUCGAGCGAACGGACGAGAAGCUUGCUUCUCUGAUGUUAGCGGCGGACGGGUGAGUAACACGUGGAUAACCUACCUAUAAGACUGGGAUAACUUCGGGAAACCGGAGCUAAUACCGGAUGAUAUUUUGAACCGCAUGGUUCAAAAGUGAAAGACGGUCUUGCUGUCACUUAUAGAUGGAUCUGCGCUGCAUUAGCUAGUUGGUAAGGUAACGGCUUACCAAGGCAACGAUGCAUAGCCGACCUGAGAGGGUGAUCAGACACACUGGAGGUGAGAGACGGUCCAGACUCCUACGGGAAGCAGCAGUAGGGAAUCUUCCGAAAUGGGCGAAGGCCUGACGGAGGAACGCCGCGUGAGUGAUGAAGGUCUUCGGAUCGUAAAAAUCUGUUAUUAGGGAAGAACAUAUGUGUAAGUAACUGUGAACAUCUUGACGGUACCUAAUCAGAAAGCGACGGCUAACUACGUG